AUGAACGCUGGCGGCGUGCCUAAUCCAUGCCCGUCGAGCGAACAGACGAGGAGCUUGCUCCUUUGACGUUAGCGGCGGACGGGUGAGUAACACGUAGGUAACCUACCUAUAAGACUGGGAUAACUUCGGGAAACCGGAGCUAAUACCGGAUAAUAUUUCGAACCGCAUGGUUCGAUAGUGAAAGAUGGCUUUGCUAUCACUUAUAGAUGGACCUGCGCCGUAUUAGCUAGUUGGUAAGGUAACGGCUUACCAAGGCAACGAUACGUAGCCGACCUGAGAGGGUGAUCGGCCACACUGGAACUGAGACACGGUCCAGACUCCUACGGGAGGCAGCAGUAGGGAAUCUUCCGCAAUGGGCGAAAGCCUGACGGAGCAACGCCGCGUGAGUGAUGAAGGUCUUCGGAUCGUAAAACUCUGUUAUUAGGGAAGAACAAACGAGUAAGUAACUGUGCACGUCUUGACGGUACCUAAUCAGAAAGCCACGGCUAACUACGUG
rnacentral:rRNA from 1 species